ACUUUCAAAACAGAAUGUUCAUUACCAAGACGUCUGUGUGUUCCAGUAAGGCUGUUUUUAUGAUAAACUACAGGGAGCUGCAAAAUGCUCUGAAGAUGUCUUUAUGCAGAAAGACUGGCCUUGGAAAAAGGUGCUGGAUGUUAAAAGAUGGGAUGUGCUUGAGGAACUGUGACGGUGCUUUCCUGUGGUAUGAGCUGAAACAGAACUAUCAACUCAGGAACUCUGUCAAUUAUGAAAUAUUGCAGUGUGGUUGUGGUGGAUUGAAUCACGUGCCCGUGUCAGAGGAUGAGACAGAGGACAGAUGCCCAUGGGAUACAGGUGGGAAUUUAUCGCCAGCAAGCCACCCCCCAGAAUGCUACAGAUUUCGAGGAAGCCUGAUCCUGCUGACAACUUGAUUUUGGACUUCUAGCCUCUGACACUGUGAGGCAAUAAAUUCUUGUGGUUUAAGCUGACCAGUUUGUGGUAUUUGUCAUAGAAACCCUGACAAACUAAGACAGAAAUUACUUCUUUCCCCAAACCCCAAAGAUGGCAGUAUUCCUUUUUCCAGUUCUGAC
rnacentral:lncRNA from 1 species